CAAGUAAGCUGGACAGCCGCGCCUGCGGGGCGAAAGGCCCGCAGGUGAGGAAAGUCCGGGCUCCACAGGGCAGGGAUAACGGGUAACACCCGCCGGGGGCGACCCUAGGAAAAGUGCAACAGAAAUAGACCGCCUGUAUCGACAGGUAAGGAUGGAAAGGCGAGGUAAGAGCUCACCCAAUGGCGUGUCAAGCGUCCAUUGCUGUAAACUCUAUCCCGGAGCAACGCCGUGGAGGGACAAACAGGCCGGCCCGGCCGUCCCAGGGAGGCGGCUUGAGCGCACUGGCAACCGUGCGCCUAGAUAGAUGGCUGUCUUAAAGGACAGAACCCGGCUUACAGGCUUACUUGCACC
rnacentral:RNase_P_RNA from 1 species